UACGAAGGGGGCUAGCGUUGUUCGGAUUUACUGGGCGUAAAGCGCACGUAGGCGGAUUGGUCAGUUAGGGGUGAAAUCCUGGAGCUCAACUCCAGAACUGCCUUUAAUACUGCCAGUCUCGAGUCCGGAAGAGGUAAGUGGAACUCCUAGUGUAGAGGUGGAAUUCGUAGAUAUUAGGAAGAACACCAGUGGCGAAGGCGGCUUACUGGUCCGGUACUGACGCUGAGGCGCGAAAGCCCAGGGGAGCAAACGG
rnacentral:rRNA from 1 species